UACGUAGGGUGCAAGCGUUGUCCGGAAUUAUUGGGCGUAAAGAGCUCGUAGGCGGUCUGUUUACGUCUGCUGUGAAAAACCCAGGGCUUAACCCUGGGCUUGCAGUGGAUACGGGCAGACUAGAGGCAGGUAGGGGAGAAUGGAAUUCCCGGUGUAGCGGUGAAAUUCGUAGAUAUUCGGAGGAACACCAGUGGCGAAGGCGGCUCACUGGCUCGAUACUGACGCUGAGGUGCGAAAAGCGUGGGGAGCAAACAGG
rnacentral:rRNA from 1 species